rnacentral:lncRNA from 1 species
UUUAAUCCUUUAAAAAUUAUAAAGAUAUAGACUAUAAAAAAAUUAAAAUUUCAUUCGGCCCCCUCUUAAAUAAUUGUUCUGGCUUCGCCCUUGGCUUAGGAUCUUUGAACAACUCUCGAAGCUCACUAUGAUACCAAUUGAAAAAUCUCUCUUUUCAUUCCAACCGUCAUUAGAACAAAAAUGAAUAGAAAGAUUAAAUGCAAAGUAACACAAUGAGCAAAGUAAGAAGAGAAUUAACACACGAUAUUUGUUAAUGCAAUUUAGACACAACAGUCCUAUGUUACACAAAGAAGUAAUUGCAACCCUAAUACUAACCCCAGUAGUCACAAAUCACUCUCCCAAAUACCUCAU